AGUAAAUAGAUACCCGGGUAGUCCACGCCGUAAACGAUGAGUACUAGGUGUAGGAGGUAUCGACUCCUUCUGUGCCGCAGUUAAACACAAUAAGUACUCCGCCUGGGAAGUACGGUCGCAAGAUUAAAACUCAAAGGAAUUGACGGGGCCCGCACAAGCAGCGGAGCAUGUGGUUUAAAUUCGAAGCAACGCGAAGAACCUUACCUAGACUUGACAUCUCCUGAAUAGUGUAGAGAUACAUGAAGCCCUUCGGGGCAGGAAGACAGGUGGUGCAUGGUUGUCGUCAGCUCGUGUCGUGAGAUGUUGGGUUAAGUCCCGCAACGAGCGCAACCCUUAUUACUAGUUGCUACCAUUAAGUUGAGCACUCUAGUGAGACUGCCCGGGUUAACC
rnacentral:rRNA from 1 species